UACGAGGGGGGCGAGCGCUGUUCGGAAUUAUUGGGCGUAAAGGGUGCGUAGGCGGUUUGGUAAGUCUUAUGUGAAAUCUACAGGCUCAACUUGUAGUCUGCAUGAGAAACUGCCGGGCUUGAGUGUGGGAGAGGUGAGUGGAAUUCCUGGUGUAGCGGUGAAAUGCGUAGAUAUCAGGAGGAACACCUGUGGCGAAAGCGGCUCACUGGACCAUAACUGACGCUGAUGCACGAAAGCUAGGGGAGCAAACAGG
rnacentral:rRNA from 1 species